GAUGAACGCUAGCGGGAGGCUUAACACAUGCAAGUCGAGCGGGAUUCACCUUCGGGUGAUGAGAGCGGCGGACGGGUGCGUAACGCGUAUGCAACCUACCUUAUACAAAGGGAUAGCCCAUGGAAACGUGGAUUAAUAUCUUAUGGGACUAAUUAAUCGCAUGGUUGAUUAGUUAAAAUUUCGGUGGUAUAAGAUGGGCAUGCGUCUGAUUAGCUAGUUGGUGAGGUAACGGCUCACCAAGGCAACGAUCAGUAGGGGUUCUGAGAGGAUUACCCCCCCANACUGGUACUGAGACACGGACCAGACUCCUACGGGAGCAGCAGUGAGGAAUAUUGGUCAAUGGACAAAGUCUGAACCAGCCAUCCCGCGUGCAGGAUGACGGCCCUAUGGGUUNUAAACUGCUUUUCUACGCAAGAAACCUGAUUACGUGUAAUCAGCUGACGUAGCGUAGGAAUAAGCACCGGCUAACUCCGUGCC
rnacentral:rRNA from 1 species